ensembl:lncRNA SNHG17 small nucleolar RNA host gene 17
GGAGAGCAUGGAUCCUGAGGUCCCAGGGAGUGGUAAGUGAUCUCUGGGAGUCAGAAGCAGCAUCUGUAAUCUUAGGCUGUAAGUCUGCUCAUUGCCCUGUCAGCUGUUCUGUUCCAGGAACAUCCCGAGAGCCAAGUUCCCAGAUGCCAGCCAAGGGCCAUCUGACCUGUUUUGAAUCUCAAUUUCCUGAUACAGAAAACAAAGGAUUGUCAGCUGACCUCUGUCCUGUGUGCCCAGUGGCCCCAGGUGACGUGUCUUCAAGAAGAGGCUGAGCUGCGGUGCUUGUAAGAGUCAUGUGCUGUUCCUGGGGCUUGGAUGAUGUAGGGGAAGCAAGGUGAAAGUGGUAUCCCGUGGUUCCACGUUCUGUCCUGCUGUGGGGCUGUCCCUCACAUGCUUUCAGUGGCUGUUGCAGAGGAAGAGCCUCCGGAAAUCUGCGUGGGUAAAGUCUCAGCCUUAGAUCCAAGGACAGUCCAAGGAAGUCCUAAGACCAUGGAGUUGGUGAUCUGGGAUCUGGGUUUGCUGAUAUUUCUCACCGUGAAUCUCUUGGUGGUGUUUGUGGGCACGAGAGGGGCAGAGAAUGGAGAGUGAGGCUACCACAUGAAGCGUCACCAGAGCUGCUCCCUGCUGCCUGCUCAGAGCACCCCGGAUCCACUGUUCAAUCUGCACAAGAUUCGGGGUCCAGACAUGGGAGACUUCAGCUGCCUCAGAGGACCGUGGACAGGGAAGGCCAGCCUCGCAUCCCUCUGUCCAUGCCUGGAAUGACUUUAAUAACCAAGAGUUUUAUUUUUGAAUUUGUAGCUGUCGUUCACUUUUUACCCACCCAUUCAAUAAACCUUACAGAAUUGC